GCGAAGUGCGAUAGAUCUCGUUAUAAGCAAACCGUUAAACAAACCUUGACUGUUAUCUUUUUCGUUUUUAAUUGUUGAUCUUUGACUGAACUUGUUGUUUCGUUAUUUUUAUUAAACUUUUAUCAACCAACCCAGCAUAGUUGUUCAUAUACACUCAAACUUAACCACCUCUAUUCUCGUAAUAGAAAUAGGGGAUCAAUCAGUUCGUGGCGUCGAUUGUUUAAUCGUAACGAGAAUUUACGACUCUCGUUGACGCGUUAUCUAGCGAUCGCGUCUCUCCGCGAACGGUUGAGACACCUGGUCAUCCUGAUAAUUGUAGUUGUAUUGUGGGUAAUCUUCAUUGUUAAUUCUGAUUGUUCUUGAAUGUGAUUUAUUCUUAGAGGAGCUUUUGUUUGAGGCGGUAUUCGAAAAUUUUGGCAUUGAUUGACAAGGUGUCUCAAUCGAUUGCAUUUGAAACAUUUCGUUUGUGUCCUUUCUUUUAAUGGUCGGUUCUCUUUCUUGGUUGAAUGUUUUGUGUGGAUGUAGUUUUGUUAUUCAUGUUACUUGUAAUCGUGAAGCCGUUACCUACUAGACGAGACGUCUGGUUACGAUAAGAUGGCGGAGCGGUUGUUUGUCGUGCCAUCCGUCUGCAAGCGUUGUCUUCGCGAAAGUAUCUUUCCGCAUCCAUUGCUUUUUUUCUGUGUCGAUGAUAUUUGGGGGAGAAUUAGCCAAUAGCACUUGCCCUAUUUCUGAACGAAGGCCUCUUACAUAGUCAGUCACAGAGUCCAUGUAUAGUCGAUCGUUCAUCACUCGUGGAGUUAGUUCGUCUUUAUAUUCAUUGGUAAUGCUGUAUUGAAGUCUGUUAAAAACACGUCGAAAUCUAAUGUUAUAAUUUUGCACGCUGUCGGUUAAUCUUUGCCUUAUUUCUCUUCAUUGAUCUUGGUGUUGCCUUACUGAUGCUUGAGUAGCUACGUUACGUCUUAAUGCUUCGUACAGAAUUUCGAAUUCGUUAAUAUGGAUAUUGCGGAUUGCCAUUGCGGUUUUUCCUAUAAUUUUCUCUAUUUUGAUCAUGUUUAAUAAUAAUGUUUGUUUGCUACACAUCAUUCUCAUUUCUUUUAUUUCACGAAUAAAACCUUCUACACCUAUAUCAUCUUCUCCGUUUAGUAUCGGAAUACAUUUUAAUGCAAUUUCAGCUUUUAAACUUACAGAGUUUGCAGCUGUUGGAUUGGAUGGUUGGACAUAUGUUGGUGGUCUUUGUGGCAUAGGUGGAGGUGUUAGUAUCGUGUUUUAAUACUGGUAUAUUAUCGUCAUCGUUAAUCAUUAUAGAACCAAAUUCAGUUGAUUCUACGUCUAUUUAUGAUAGUUUAACACGAGAGAGGUUUCUACCUAAUAUUUCUAUUUUCUUCGUUGGCUAAUCUUAAUGCAUUCUUUAUUUCGUUAAAUUGUUGUCGAAAUUCGUCGUUCUGUCUCUGUACUAAGUCUAAAAUAGCUCUGGUAGAGGAAUUAAGUGAUCCCGUUUUAUUUUGGGUUCCACAUGUAGAGGGUAAACUUGUUUCGGCUUUUGAGUCUUUCUUGUUGUUCAUUGUGAACAUUGUCUCUUCGCUAGAGUUGCUAGAGAAACUAACUUUUCACGUUCUAUAUUGUUUAAAAGAAUCCAGACUUUUCUCACCUCGAUACGUAAGUUCGUAGAAUGAGGUUCCUUCGCGGUAUUUUCCUCUGUGAUAAAUUAUUGGUACCAGAGUUCACAACACAAGUGGUCCGAAUCCUUCGAUCUUCAAUGAUGUCCGUAGACCGAAAUCGUAAUUUCGUUUACACUGGAGCGAAUGGAUCCCGGCAGGAUUGUCAAAAUGUCAGAUAUUUAUUGACGUUACAUGCUACACGUAUGAAGACUCGACAGAACAAUGAGAUGCCCACUGCCGCUCUUACGCUCUCGGUAUGGAGGGUUUCAGAAGCAUCGCAGACG